CAUCGAAUAGGCAAGUUAUAUGGUCAAUGACGUCAUACAAGCGUUUUAUUUCAAAAUGGCCAAAGUCUUGUUCCCUGUUUUGAUGAAAAUUUUGAUAUUAACGACAGUUUCAGCAAUAGAAAAAAAUGAAACAGCUUUUGAUGUACAGAACAAUUUUAAAGUCGGUCAAAUCUUUGAAGACACCUCCCAUCGCGCGGCUGUACCAAUGAAAUGGUCAAACAUUCAAUUAUCAUAUCCACUGAAUCGUCCAAAAAGAAGAUCUGUGUCGCAGUAUAUAUCUCGUCCAAAAAGAGAUAUUCGUAAACGUAAACAAAUUGAAUUUUUGAACAUAGUGAAGAAUGCACUGGAAAACAGAAUAAGAAUAGUCGAAAAAAUUGAUUGUAUUGAAAGGAUGAACAAAAUAAAAAUGGUUCUAAGUCCCGGUGUGUACGCAGCAUUUCUACAGUUUUGCGAGCGAAAGCAGAAACAAACACUUGAACAACUACUGAAAGAUAAAAAGAACAUCGAAAACUCCAUACAAGCCUUGAGUAAUUCAUAGAACUGCUAUUUGAUUGAUUAACAUUUGAAGUACGAGUUUUACAUUCGGUUAUAAUCAAGAUUUAUUCCACGAAAAGUACCUGCACCUCUAUAUAUCGGAAUGUAAAAUUCACACGUUCUGAAUUGUAUAGGUCCACAUGGGACAGAUCAAUAACUUUGAUUGUGUGAAAGGAAAGGUAAUGAAAACAUGGCUUUUGUGAAGAAACAUGAAAUCUGCAAGACCACUUACGUCAAAUGCUGUGAAAAUACCGAUCGGGGACCGCCGAUGAUCAGAAAAGGAACUGUUAAAAGAAGUUGACUAUUUAAAAACAGAGCAAGUCCUCAGAAGUCAAUAUUCAUCGUUUAUAUUCAAAUGUACUAUGUUAGAUUUCCGUUUUACGGUAGCGCUAAGAGACAAAAAGCUGGUUCAUUUAGCAAAAUCACGAACCAAUAACUUCAAUGUUUUGCUUAUCUACACAUAAGACACGUACCAAGGCAUUCUUCUCAAACCUGUAAUUAAUUAUAUUUUGUUAUUGUUUCAUUGUUCUUGAACAUCAAUGUAAAUGUGCAAAAACUCCAUAUCUCUAUACUUACGAAUGUUAUUCGAUAUCAUUUUAUGCUAAGUGAUGAAAUAUUGAGUAAUGUCGAGGUAAUAAUUUCAUUUAUCUUUCUGAAAAGCUUGACAAAGGACUGCUUUUUGAAACUUUAAAUUUAUUUCAAAUAUUAUAUAGUUUUGAUGCUAGGCGAUUAAUAUAAUUUAAUAUUCAAAAUACGGUUAAAAGUCAAACAUAGCUAUUAAAACACCAUAUUGAAUUAAAAAUAUUCAAAUGAUAAAAUACCUAAAUUUAAUUGUAUUUGCUGUACGGUUUCCUCAAUCGCAAUUAGCCAAGGUCGGAGGAAUUUGAUACAAACCAAACAGACAUUUGAGCUGUUCGUUGUGGUACAAACUUAAAAUCCAUAGUUUAUGUAUUUUAAUCCGAUUUUGUGAUCAGCGUUCAAUAAUCCGCCAUGGCUUUGCCCAGGCCGAGCUCCUAAUUCAAUAACGUUGGCAUUUCGAUAUAGAAAGAGACAGCAAACAAUUUACCUAUCAGUUAUCCGUUUUAGAACACUGUUCAAUUGUACAUCUUUGACAGUUUUGAAUUGUUUCGGAGCAUAAAUCUGACUGUUUCUCUUCUUUAUGAAAACGCAUUCUUUUCGUGUUUUGUCGUUAAAUGUUAGUUAUUCGUGUUUUGUCAUUAAAUGCUAGUUAUUCGUGUUUUGUCGUUAAAUGUUAGUUAUUCGUGUUUUGUCAUUAAAUGCCAGUUAUUCGUGUUUUGUCGUUAAAUGUUAGUUAUUAGUGAAUAAGUUCAGCAUAUGACUUAAUACAGCUCAACCCUAUAUGGUCAUGUAGAUUAACGUUUUACUAUUGCGACUACAUUUAAUUUAUACUGUUGAUUCGCAAUAUGCCCCUCAAAUAGUUUGAUAUAGUUGGGAAUAUACAUAUUGAGCUUUGGUGGUUUAAAUCAAUUUUAUAUGAAUUUUUUUAUUCAAAGAUCAAUGUACAUGUGUGCAUUUUCAAGUAAAAAAACGGUCUGGAAAUUUCCAUUCUCUCUUCUAAUAGAAGUAAUUGGAUUUACGAUGGAACAAGCACAAUAUUUGAGUAGUCAAGGACCAAUACUAUUCUGCCCUGAUUCUUUAUUGUUUUUUUAAAGAGUUGAUUAUUGUACAGACAUGAAAUAUUGUUCUAUGUUCUAUGGUAUGUGUGUAUUAAAUAUUUUAUUAUU